UACGUAGGGGGCAAGCGUUGUCCGGAUUUAUUGGGCGUAAAGAGCGUGUAGGCGGCCAAGCAGGUCAGCUGUGAAAACUCGAGGCUCAACCUCGAGACGUCGGUUGAAACCGCUUGGCUAGAGUCCGGAAGAGGAGAGUGGAAUUCCCGGUGUAGCGGUGAAAUGCGCAGAUAUCGGGAAGAACACCCGUGGCGAAGGCGGCUCUCUGGGACGGUACUGACGCUGAGACGCGAAAGCUAGGGGAGCAAACGGG
rnacentral:rRNA from 1 species